GAUGAACGCUGGCGGCGUGCCUAAUACAUGCAAGUCGAGCGAACGGACGAGAAGCUUGCUUCUCUGAUGUUAGCGGCGGACGGGUGAGUAACACGUGGAUAACCUACCUAUAAGACUGGGAUAACUGCGGGAAACCGGAGCUAAUACCGGAUGAUAUUUUGAACCGCAUGGUUCAAAAGUGAAAGACGGUCUUGCUGUCACUUAUAGAUGGAUCCGCGCUGCAUUAGCUAGUUGGUAAGGUAACGGCUUACCAAGGCAACGAUGCAUAGCCGACCUGAGAGGGUGAUCGGCCACCCUGGGACUGAGACACGCUACAGACUCCUACGGGAGGCAGCAGUAGGGAAUCUUCCGCAAUGGGCGAGAGCCUGACGGAGCAACGCCGCGUGAGUGAUGAAGGUCUUCGGAUCGUAAAACUCUGUUAUUGGGGAGGAACAUAUGUGUAAGUAACUGUGCACAACUUGACGGUACCUAAUCAGAAAGCCACGGCUAACUUCGUG
rnacentral:rRNA from 1 species